rnacentral:rRNA from 1 species
GGCGUGCCUAUACUGCAAGUCGAGCGGACCAAUGAAGAGCUUGCUCUUCGGCGGUUAGCGGCGGACGGGUGAGUAACACGUAGGCAACCUGCCUGUACGACUGGGAUAACUCCGGGAAACCGGAGCUAAUACCGGAUACUUCUUUCAGACCGCAUGGUCUGAAAGGGAAAGACCUUUGGUCACGUACAGAUGGGCCUGCGGCGCAUUAGCUAGUUGGUGGGGUAACGGCCUACCAAGGCGACGAUGCGUAGCCGACCUGAGAGGGUGAUCGGCCACACUGGGACUGAGACACGGCCCAGACUCCUACGGGAGGCAGCAGUAGGGAAUCUUCCGCAAUGGACGAAAGUCUGACGGAGCAACGCCGCGUGAACGAUGAAGGUUUUCGGAUCGUAAAGUUCUGUUGUUAGGGAAGAACCGCCGGGAUGACCUCCCGGUCUGACGGUACCUAACGAGAAAGCCCCGGCUAACUACGUGCCAGCAGCCGC